rnacentral:rRNA from 1 species
AGGAUGAACGCUGGCGGCGUGCUUAACACAUGCAAGUCGAACGAUGAAGCAGAGCUUGCUCUGUGGAUUAGUGGCGAACGGGUGAGUAACACGUGAGUAACCUGCCCUUGACUCUGGAAUAAGCGUUGGAAACGACGUCUAAUACCGGAUACGAGCUUCCGCCGCAUGGUGAGGAGCUGGAAAGAAUUUUCGGUCAAGGAUGGACUCGCGGCCUAUCAGGUAGUUGGUGAGGUAAUGGCUCACCAAGCCUACGACGGGUAGCCGGGCCUGGAGACGGGGUCGACCGGCCAACGGACUCGGAACUGGAGACACGGUCCAGGACUCCUACGGGAGCAGCAGUGGGAAUAUGCACAAGGGCGCAAGCCUGAG